CGAAGAUUUAACACCUCGCCUGGUAAAGCUCAAGGAAAAUUUUGACCGCCCUAACCUAUUAUGGCUUUCUUUGUCCGAAUGAAUGAAGGGCUGCUUGAAUGUCCUCAUUACAUGACAACUGGCUUUUCUAGAGCAACUGACCCAAGAGAGAGAGAGCAACCAAGACAGACUUUUUUGUAUUCUCUCAUUCUGAUGUAUCUCAGUCCCUACUGUUAAAUCCUAAUGGUUUCUGACGACUUCUACAGAAUUGGAUUCAUUCGAUAACCAUAAGCACAGAGAAGAUAUGCAAAGAUAUCAGAUGUCAGAAGGAUGUAAAGAUGAGGGCUGCCCACCAUGUCUGUACUCUGGCCAGUGGGAAGAAGGAAAAGGCAAGAAGCAACCAUAUUCUGUUCCUAAGAAAAAAUGGUGCCUGACACACAGCAAGAAGACAAAAAUGUUGAAUGAAUGAAUGAAUGAGCUUAUAGUAACUCUAGUUUUGAAAGUGCCCAGCAGAGAAAUUCAAUAAUAAAAGACACUUAACAAUCAACAGAUAGAGGCUGCUGAUGUUUUCUUAUUGACCUCAGAGCUGCAAGAAGAGGAGUAAGAUGCUUUGCAAGCUAAUGGGAAACAUCUGAUUGUGGUCUAUGCUCAUUUAAUUUUGGAGGACUAAUUCAAGGCAGGCAUAUGCCUUUCAUUCUCAAUACGUGUAUGCCUUUCACUCACCUAUGUUAAGCUCCUUUGUCCACCCUGAUGGCCAGCUCUUCUCUUCUAAUCUUCAGAGUUUAAAUCCCAUAACUGAUGGUUAACUGGAACUAUAGUAAUGAAAGCCCCGAAUAGUAAUAAGAAGGAACCUCUGCUGCCACCACCAACCAUGCUGGAUCCAGGAGGAAAUAUGUUCCCCAUGUCCCUCCUUCAUGCUGUGAGGUGGUCCACAUCUUUGGACUUAUUCCAACAACCUGUUAAAACUUGGUGGAUUCCUGUGGAGUUGUAGGCAUGCAAGGACCUGCUUCACCCAAGGACAUCAAGAAGGCAGAUCAGAAACUAGCACUAAAGUGGCACCCAGAUAAACAUCCCACAAAUAAAGAAGAAAA